UACGGGGGGAGCAAGCGUUGUUCGGAUUUACUGGGCGUAAAGGGCGCGUAGGCGGUCAGCACAAGUCAAUUGUGAAAUCUCCGAGCUUAACUCGGAAAGGUCAACUGAAACUGUGCGACUAGAGUGCGGAAGGGGCAACUGGAAUUCUUGGUGUAGCGGUGAAAUGCGUAGAUAUCAAGAGGAACACCUGCGGCGAAGGCGGGUCUCUGGGCAGUAACUGACGCUGAGGAGCGAAAGCGUGGGGAGCGAACAGG
rnacentral:rRNA from 1 species